UGCCACAGCCAUAUUAUUCUGCAGCCCAAGACUGAGUAUUCACUGAAGCUAAGCAGGGCUGAGCCUGGUCAGUACCUGGAUGGGAGACCACAUGGGAAUACUAGGUUGCUGUUGGAA
rnacentral:rRNA from 1 species